AUGUUUGAUAUAAAGGCUUGGGUUGAGAAUGUUGUGGAAUGAACUGCAAGGGACCCCUGUGGCUUCUUUAUAGUAAUUCUUUGGCCCUUGUUCUACUACUGCUCAAACAAGUCCAUACUGUCCUGGAAAUUGGCCAGGAUGAUUGAGGCCAGAGGAAAGGAACAAAAGAAGAAAAAACGUUGAGAAAAUAUAUAUUACAUAAGGGAAACAACCGAAAAAAGGAUUAAAGGAAUGAACAGGCUGUGUAAAAUUAUGUAG
rnacentral:lncRNA from 1 species